UUGUUGUUGUUUUUAACUAUGUCAUCACUAUCUAUAUAUAGUACAGAGAUACUUCUCGGUUUAUAUUUGAGGUAUGACAAAGCUGUGAAGCACAAUCACUGAAUUACGUAUCACCUCUCGGUUUCCUCUAUAAGAUUUUUAUUGUAAUAUCAAUGGUUUUAUCGAAAUGAAAAUGAAAUAAUGCUGCGGAGUUUCGAUUGCACAAAUAAUGUAAAUUCCUAUACACAAACAAAAUGGCAUGGCCGUCAUAAUUCGCACACGCAUACAUUCGCAUACACAUUCUAGACUUUCAGCGCAUCGUCCACACUCAAUAUUUCAUACGUUUCGUUCACAUUUACCAAUUGCUACAAAAUUAUGCUAAAUUAUGUUUUUAUUUGAAUAGAAAAACUGUAAAAAUCUUUUCAAAAGUUACCUACGAAUUAUUGAAAAACAACAUACAAUAUGACACGAAUUUGGGAAGAGAAUUUGUGACUUUUGCUACGUUCAGGGAACUGACAAGCUGUCAACAAAAUGUCAAAUGAAUAAAACGUCUAAAGCUAUAACACAUAAAACGUCUAAUAAAGUUGAUUGACAACGGUGGGCGCUGGUAUCGAAGAUUUUUUGUUGAAGAUUCAACGAAUACGACAUCUAUUAAAAUACAUAAAGAUUUUUGUUACUAAAGAACACACUGACUCUGAUUUAGUGUGUCCGUUUGUAUUGCAAAUUCUGCACUCAGUCGUCAACCGUAGCUGCUUGUGCAAAAUUUACAACACACACGCAUACACAGAAUCGGUGUCAGUACUAAUACGUUUGCAAUACAGCUAUAUAGUUCGCUAGAGUUGUGUCAAGACAGCAGUAGUAACGAAAAUCUUUAUUGUCUUUAAUAGGUGGCGUAUUGUUGAAUUUUCAACAAAUAUUUCCAUACAAAAAGUGCUUCACCAGCGCCCACUGAUUGACAACUAACAUUUCAAAUGAACGUUUAUUUGCAAUUUGUUAAUAAAGAAUCGAAAGACACGCUUUAAGUAGCAAACAAAAUUUAAGAUAAGUUCAUCAAUCUAUAUACUACAAGAUAAGUUCAUCAAUCUAUAUACUACUAUCUAUAUCUUACAUUCGAUAAAUUUUUAUCUUCAAAAAUGGAAAUUACUCCAUUUCAAGAAGAAAUAGAAUCACCAUUCCCAGGUCAAUUCGAAAAAUAAAAAAAAAAUCAUGGAAAUUUCGAUGGUCCAAUUGGAAUUUAUUCAAUGAAAUCUAAGCAUCGUGAUGUUUUCAUUUUCGUAAACAUCAUCAAUUUCCAGAAACCAGGAAGGAAACGAGAAGCUGGAACGACCGAUCGUGACAAAUUAAUUAUAUUAUUUCGGGAAAUGGGCUUGGAAUGUUUUUAUUACGAGGAUAUAUCAAAGGAUGUACCAUUUCAUGGAACUGUUGAAAAAGUUAUCAGUCUGGCCAGCUUUGCAGAAAUAUGACUGUUUGGUCUUUUGUGUUUCGUCACAUGGCAACGGUGAUCGUAAUGAAAAUAACAUUAUCGAAUUCAGCGACGGUAAUAUGUUAUAUGUUAAUGACAUCAUACCAUACUUCAGUAAUUCCAGCUGUUCCCAUCUACUCGGAAAGCCAAAAAUAUUUAUAUUUCCUAGUUGCCGAUGGCCAAACCUAGAUCGUGCACUAACAACAUUACCAAUGCAACUGGAUAGCUCUGAUGCAGAGCAUAACGAAGCAAAUACAAUAGUUGAUCUACUGCAAACAUACUCAGACAUAAAAAUCUGUUAUUCGACGGUUUCUGGUUAUUCAUCACAUCGAGAUGCUAUAACUGGCUCAUGGUAUAUUGAAGCCAUGUCCCAAAAAUUUUACAAGUUUUCACAUAAUAUGCAUCUUGAAAAUUUGCUAAAACUUAUCAGCGAAGAAAUGAAAGAUUAUGUUGGUGAAAACAACGAAAUGCAAACACCUUGCAAUGAAGAGAUUGGCUUUAGUAAGAAACUAUAUUUCAACCCCGGUUACGUUUGUUAUUACUUCAUUGAGCGUCAUUAAGUUCAAUAUUUUUAAAAAAUAUUAUUGAGUUUUCUUCAGAAUUAUUGAAAGUUAGUUAUCCGUUCUGUCGAUUACGGUCGAGUAAAUACACUUGUGCCACCGCUAGCACAUUUUUGUUCCAGCCGUAACACAUUUACACACUCACAUUGCACCGCUCAGAGAUACUCAUAACAAACACAUGUAGUAAAAAGAAAUAUAUUUUUGACUGACUCCUUAAAGAAAAACGCACCUUGUAAAUAAUAAGAAAUUUUACCAAUUCAAUUCAAGAAAUUGUAAUCAUUUGUAGAAAUAACAGACGAUGUUCAUAUUUUGGCAAUCUAAAACUAUUCCAUUCUGCUUGUGGCGCUACUGGUGGAGAAAAAAGGAACCAACAAGGAUUUUGGAAGCUUAAUUAUUGGUUGAAAAUAAAUCAGACCAUUUACUUAUAAUGGUUCAAGCACAGCCAGUUUUCCGGAUCUUGUUUGGAUGCUUCAAAGUUUAAUCCCCAACUAUCCAGUAAAAUUAGAUUUUUAAUAUCUUUUAUGGGUGAUGACCUAAAAAUUGGAAAUAUUUAUAGGAAACAUGUUCUGGGGUGACUUUAAAUCCGACAAUAUAUUGAGCUGACUAUUCAUUUGAAAUAAAACGAAAUAGCACGCUAUUUGGGACAUUUCGAUUGUGUGACAACAAAAAUUUGUUACUUCAGACAAUCGAAAUAUUCCAAAUAGCAUGCUAUUUAGUUUCAUUUCAAAUGAAUAGUCAGCUCAAUAUAUUGUCGGACUUAAAUUUUUGGUCUAAUAAUAAUAAUAAAUUUUUCCAAAAUU